rnacentral:lncRNA from 1 species
AUAAACUGGGACUGUACUGGGAUAAACUGGGGCCAUACUGGGAUCAUACUGGGAGUCACUGGGAGUUACUGGGGCCAUACUGGGAUGGACUGGGCCAUACUGGGGGAUACUGGGGCCAUACUGGGAGUCACCGGAGCCAUACUGGGAACCACUGGGAUCAUACUGGGAAUCAUUGGGGCCAUACUGGGAUCAUACUGGGGGAUACUGGGGCCAUACUGGGAGCCACUGGGGGAUACGGGGAUCAUACUGGGGGAUACUGGGGCCGUACUGGGAGUCACUGGGAUCAUACUGGGAAUCACUGAGGGGAUACUGGGAUGGACUGGGCCAUACUGGGGCCAUACUGGGAAUCGCGGAAGGGUACUGGGAUCAUACUGGGUCAUACUGGGAGUCACUGGGAGUUACUGGGGCCGUACUGGGAAUCACUGGGGCCAUACUGGGAUGGACUGGGGGAUACUGGGGCCAUACUGGGAGCCACUGGGGGAUACUGGGAUCAUACUGGGAGUCAUCGAGACCAUACUGGGAUCAUACUGGGAGUUACUGGGGCCAUACUGGGAAUCACAGGGUGAUACUGGGAUCAUACUGGGGGGAUACUGGGAUGGACUGGGCCAUACUGGGAAUCACUGGGAUCAUACUGGGAGUCACUGGGGGAUACUGGGAUCAUACUGGGAGUCACCGAGACCAUACUGGGAUCACAAUGGAAGGCACUGGGGCCAUACUGGGAUCAUACUGGGAGUAACUGGGGCCAUACUGGGAGUUACUGAGGCUGUACUGGGAGUCACUGAAGCCAUACUGGGGGAUACUGGGGCCGUACUGGGAAUCAUUGGGGCCAUACUGGGAGUCACUGGGAUCAUACUGGGCCAUACUGGGAUGGACUGGGCCAUACUGGGAAUCACUGGGGGGAUACUGGGACAUACUGAGAGUCACUGGGGCCAUACUGGGAAUCACUGGGAUCAUACUGGGCCAUACUGGGAAUCACUGGGAGUCACUGGGGCUGUACUGGGAGGCACUGGGGCCAUACUGGGAAUCACUGGAAUCAUACUGGGCCAUACUGGGAAUCACUGGGAGUCACUGGGGCCGUACUGGGGGAUACUGGGGCCAUACUGGGAAUCACUGGA